UUUGAGACAUUCAUUUUGUUUUCCAAGUUAUUAAAAUAUGGUCAAAAGUAGUUGUAAGAGAUAUGGGAGAAAAUAGUGGAAAACGAUUUAACUUUCACUUAGCUUUGAUGGGCUUGUAAAUAAGCCAAUGGGUGAACUCGGGUCUGUGAGCUGACCAAUCAGCUAUCAACUAGGCUACGUCAGAUCUCUAGAUUUACGUCUCCUCACGUCCCUUUUGGCGCUACAUCGGAACCCGGAACGUAGGCAGCCGUUAUUCACUCGGUAAGAGAAAAAGAACGACAUUUAGUGAAUUAAAUCCUAGCUAAUACUGGCUAUGCUUUGUUGUGAAUAGAACGAAAGAGAUCUGUGUCUGAAUCCACUGUCGUCACGGAGUUAAAGGCAGUGAAUUCCAUUAAAAUGAUGGAGGAGGUGGAGAUUUGAGAAGCGCUACGCACGGGAGGUCCGGUCCAGA